UUUGAAAACUCUGAGAUUUUAUGUCAGCUGGUGGUCUGGGAGCUGGGACGUUGCCUGCGGACUGUGCCUUGCCCCAAAACUUCUUCUUUUGCCAUUUGCUGCCCCAAUUGCCGCUCUGCCGCUGACUGUGAUUUUGGUCCGUUGUCUUGGCUCUCUUUGCCUAUCUUUCCUUCUCCCUAGAUUCAGAAAUCUUCUUUUUCUUUUCUUCAACUUGUUGUAUAUGAACUGACAGCCUAGCAAAGUCCAUAUCCCUAUUCAGCAUGGCUCCCUAACACUCAAGCACCAGAUUAUUCGAAAGGCCAGAUACAAACUUCCUCAUUCGGGACCUCAUAAUACCCAUCAUAUCAGGAGCAUAAUGGGCCAGCUGAUUAAACUUUAAAGUGUACUCCUGCAUGCUUAUCUUACCCUGCUUGAGGUUCAUGAACUCCUAUGCUUUAGCUUUCCUCAGCUCCAGAGGAAAGAAUCGGUCAAGAAAAGCUUCCACGAACUCGUCCCACACUGUGGGCUCAUCACUAUCACCCUUUGCAUCCUCCCACUCGUUGUACCACUGGUUCCCUACAUCCUUAAGCUGGUAGGCUGCCAACUCAACACCUUUCAUCUGAUCCACAUGCAUUACUUUGAAAAUUUUCUUCAUUUCAUCUACAAACUCCUGCGGGUCCUCCUCUAUCUUAGUGCCAAAAAAUUUGGGCAGGUUCAUUCUCAUGAACUGGCCCACCCUAGUAGCUCUAGGUGUAACC
rnacentral:lncRNA from 1 species